rnacentral:lncRNA from 1 species
ACAGAAGCAGAAGGCUUGUCUUUCCUCGCUAAUAAACUGCUUCCCGAGCUAGAAGAAGGAACAAGGGUUUUCGCCUAUUCCAUGCAAAAGACGGCUCUACUUCUUUGCCUAUUUAUUUUCUAACAACCCUGGCCGCAUCCUUGACUUCGAAACAACCAACAGGAGUUCCUCCCAUCAGCUCAAUGGAAUGAAUUCUCUUGCAGUGCAGCCCUGGUGAUAAUACCAUUAGGAGGUGAUUGCGAGUCCACUAUGAGAUCGGGUACUUCCACUAGUCCUAUUCCUUUGCCGGGCAUGAUUUGUCUAUCAACGAUUCUCAAGUCGAGUAGACUCUCUCUUACCGCGAUGCUCAUUAUCUUCCGGUUCAGGGAAUCAGGACCUACAUCUCGUGUGGGCUAGAACCAGCCAAUAGCUUGACUCCGUUCACCGCUGCUUCCUUCAUCCGAUAUUGCUAGUCCAACGGAAAGCUUUGCUUAGCUUACUGGACUUAAGAGCUUUCUGACUUGUCUCGAAAAGGCCGUCUCACUGUGUACGGAAGGCUCAGUUUACUCGCGGUCCAUUCCACCACGAAAGGGAGAAAGGUACUGCUAUCAUGGGGAACACCUAUCUUUGAAAUCCUAUCUUUCAGCUAACGCUAGUCUAGUCUCCAUUGGAAUAAAUAGGGCCAGCCUGGCUCAACCAGAUGAAUAGUUUAUCUAUCAGCAGGGUCGGGGCAUAGCGUAGAAGUUCGGUCAGUCUCCGUUGGCACGGUACACUUUGUUCACUUUGUUUUUAAUACGUUACUUUUCGGCUUAAUAAUAACAAGCAUUAUUCCUGGGCACCGGCAACCCUACUACUGACCAGGGAAGAGAUCAUGAAUAGGGCGUGGUGCAAAUCUAGUAAAUGGUGCCGUCUCGUAUCAGUGAACGUUGUUUGCUUGAUGGAUUGACGGAAGUCCGCUAUUGAUUCGGGAACCACAAGUCGAAUAGGAAUACGUAGAUCAAUCUCUGAAAGCUGCCAGUCCAGAGUAGCUUAUUGGAAAUGUCCUCUGGAUUGAGUCCCUCGAUAUAGCAAUAUUAUUUGCCGAGUCAAGUAUAGUUCAAGUACUACUGCCAACAGGCGCAGGCUAUUAGUCUGAUUCCCUAGUAGCAAAAGUGGAUUCCCUCAUUCAGAAGUAGAUUACAUACAGACAGACAGGCCCGCAUUGCUUCGAUCCAGAGGUUCUUCUGCGAAUCCCUACCAUUACUGGACAAGAGUGGUGGACUCCCAUCCCUGAAACCAGCAGACGGAUCCAAUACACAUAAGACUUUUUUUCUCGGGAAAUUCCGAAUGUCAUGCCCCACAAGUUAGUUGCCCAAGCGCUCCCUAGGAGGGCAGUCUACCACAAGAUAGAGUUUGGGCCUGGAGCCAAAGCCCCAACCCCUCCAUUUUUUGUUGAGCUCAGGAAAGAAUUUAAGGAAGUCACAUCGGCCCUCAUCAAGAGGAAUCUGAUCUCGCUUUGAUUCAUCCGUUGCGCGGCGGGACCCACCACUCUCUGUAAUUUCCCAGUUCCCCAUCGUAUCAUAUCAGGUUUAGGGGCUACCUGGGAUAGAUGAGUUUAUUUGUGGUGCUACUACUUUACUUUUUCUGAGUGAAUAACGUGAGUGAGUAAGCAAGAAGUGUUAGCCUUCCCCAUUGCAAAGAAUUCCUCGCAACAAGACGGAUUUCUUCUUUCCAGAGCAGUAGUGGAAGUGUUCGUAUUUCUUUCAAAGUGCCAGAAUCCAAGUGGCAAGGAAAAGCUUUAUUUGCAUAAUGAAUCGUGAUAUAAAGAGGAUUGGAAGUGCCGUGGUUCAGGUUGCGGAGCGGUGAUACGACUUUUCCAUAUCAAAGAUUCGACUCGAAAACCUUAUGAACCUGUUUUCCUUACUUCAACUAGGUUUCUUCUUCCUUUUAUCCAUAGGAGGCAAGGAUAGCAAGGGUAACAAAACAGAUUAAGCAAUCAAACGGAUGUGCGAAGGAAAGUAGGACUUUUGACUAUGGCUGGCAUAAAAAGUUCACUUUGAUCGUACACUCUACUAGGCAAAACUGGUGUGAGUGGUUUUUACUAUGGGGGGCAUAAACAGUUGAAUAUGGAGAGUCGGCUGAGUUUAGGACAAAAAGACAAGGCGUAGUCUUUUGAGUCUGAUCAGUCUAGUGUUGCCUAUGUUGGGUAGGAAAUAAAAGAAUCAAAGCCCUCGACGUUAGCAGUUCUUAGCGGGACUCGACGUUCCUAACAGCUGUUGAGCUCUCGAAGUAUGAGAUCCUGAAUGCAUCCUCUUUCUUUCCACUUCAUCUUGGGAAUCUGGAAUGGUUGUUUAUGGCUGGGUGUGACAGAUCAGACUGAGUUUAGAAUCAGACUUUCUAUCUAUCUAUCUAGCUGUAUUGCCACUCCAACGGUUCUUUUUCUUUGAUUAUGCCCCGUAUCUCUCUGAGCCUAUUUGAUCUAUUUGCUAUAUCUAAGUUCGAGUGUGAAGUUCGCUCCGGUUGAAGUGUAGGGCUUCCUAAUUCCUGCUUCGUCCUCCUAUGAAUGCACUAGUAUAGAAGGUUGGCCCGUCACCGUAUACCAUCGUAAGAUGAACUGGAAAUUCGUAGUUUCAACCAGUUACACAAAAUAGGCAAGUUGAGGUUUGUUCAGCGUGUGUUGCCUCCAACUAUAACGAGGCCCUUUGACUUGAGGUACGAUCUUACCUCUUAACGCGCUUUCCUGCUAGAAGAAGUGAGGGUGAUGUCCAAUGACCUGUUGAAGAAGCUUGCUGUGUAGAUAGGUUUCGUGAACCUAAUGUAGAACCUGUAAACGAAAGACUAGAGUCCCGGAACCGCUGCCAUUCAAAAAGCUAUCAAUCUGAUUCGAAAUACCAAGGUUCGAAGACCUCUGGCUUUGAUUGUGUGCCCUUUCUUGUUCCUAAGGAUUUCUAACCAGACCUUACCUUAGGCGGACGUAUACUCAAUUAUCAAUAAGACUAAAUCGUGAUCGACCCGCCAUCAUCUCUUGCCUGAACUGACUUACCAGUCACAGGGCCGAGAACACAUGAUCGAGGGAAAUUUCUUUCAUCACUACGAAAACUGGUUUUGCUGAUUGACAAAACGGAUCUCUUCCCUGUGAGCCGCCUUUAGGAAAACUGCACCAAAGAUGUGUCUUUGUUCGGUUCAGAUCAACAAAGCAUUUGCUAAUACCAGUCUGAAGGCAACGCUAUGCAGCUCCAUUUCCUCUUAAAGUGAAUGGCCUUCCUAUUAUAUCGAAUAUUUGGAGUUGCGGAGUUUUUCAUAGAAUGGGGUGUAGGCAAAUACCAACGUCGGUGAUUAUAGGGAAAUAGAUGCUUUCUUACUUAUGUUCUAUACUAGCACAUCAGCACCUACCUUUUCUCAUUGCUUCGUGAGGGUAGACAAUUGCCUGACUCGUACGUAACUGGGCCUGUUGUUUUCUAGUGCUUGAUAGUCUGUAGUGUAGUCUAUGAAAAGAAAGAAGUCACUUGUUCACAAGCCAAGAGUUCCAUUGACUCCUCUCUUAUCUACGUUCAUGCUUACUUAACCAGUAGUGAAUGGAAUAAAGUAAGAAGUCUUUCCACACUCGUAACCUGUAAUUAAUGGGAGUCGGUACAGAUUGGGUGUAGUGAAGAAUGGAACCCCCUACUCUGACUUGGUCUAGUGAAUGUCAGUCCGUACUCAUACUCGGUCUAGUGAAUGAUAGGUAGGUAACAGUGAAGUAGUCGGCGCACCGAGAAGCACACGAUCUAAUCUACUCUUAUUGUCAGUCUCUCCAGAAAGAAGAAGCACACCCUUGCCUUUAUUCUCUUCUAUGUUCUUGUCUCUAGUGUGGAGUUUUUCCUGUCAUAUCUCUGAACUGGACUACCAAAACAUCUACACUGCAUCAAGCCACGUUGUAAGAACCUCGACUAAGACUAAGAAAGGAAACAUCCUAUAAAGCUCUUGCUGGGUGAUUGUUCAGGCUUCUUCCGGUGGAUUGGUAUUGGUAGAGUUUGUUUGCCGUAUCUACACAGGUAGAGAACCUUGUUUCAUAGGUUGGGCCUAUAAAUAGAUAAGCGCGAGAGUACUUUACCGGUACCGGUUUAAAGGCAUUAUUCACUCAAUUCUGCAUUAUUUCUUCUGGCAGCAGGUUAUCUUUCUGCAACGCCCAAACAAAGGUGGAACACGUACCCAGAGAUCCGAAAAGCUACUUCUCAAGAGUCCACUAAACCACUUGUCCCAGGCGCGGGCUAAAUCACUCUGGAACUGGAAUCGCCCGGCGCGAAUCAAGUAGUCGUUAUGUUUGGGAUUCAAGGCAAGCUGGAAUCAGAAUCUGCAGGAAGACAGGGAGGAUCUGGAGCCCAUGUAGGUACGGCCUAAGCUGAGCUGCUAGCGGCAUCAACUCUUUUCCCCGCAAAUAAGAAAAGUAAACAUUCCCUCCCUAGCCUACCCGCCCUUUAUUUAAGUGGAAACAACCACUAUAGGCUACUUAGACUAAAAUAAAAAAUAGGGGCCCUUCUCUAAGUCUAAGAAGGAAGCAGCAUUACUUCAUUUUUUUUACCAAGGAAUGGACUCACUUUCCACUCCUUGAGCCUGCCAUUGAAAUGAAAACAGACUUUAGGGACUCGUUUUCGAAACGAUCCGGUACCAAAUUCCAUGCUAAAAGCGGUAAUCAGAUGCCGUUACCUCUUUCUCUCUUUCUUUCUACUGGCCAUAGUCAUCUCGAUUCUCACUCCAUACCAUACGACAAUAUCUAUUUGACACAAGACAUGACAUGAUCUGGCGGAUCAGAACAGAAAUGGGUUUAGCCUUCUCCCACUCCGGAUUUGCGUAUUCCCUCGGGAAAAUGGGGUAGGCUACUUUUGAGUGAGAUGCGGUUUUCUCAAAAGCAAUCCAUCGUUUCGAGGGUGCCGGGCUAUGGUUCAGUUCGAGUCUAGUUUCCUGAAAAUAUUCCGUGGUUUUGGCCCAAGGAAAGGAGUAGUGACGGAGUUCAUUCAUUAGCAAGGAUCGGACCCAUUCCAGCUUAGAACUUACCACUAGACUCUUGGAAUAGGAAAUUGGCUUUCCCGAGAAGGGGACUAGCACUUGAUUUCGUUGCCUAAUAGAAUCCCAUUCACUCUUGACUCUUGGAAUGAGUCCGGUGGAAAGUAAAGUAGGAAGGAGGGGCGAAAUUCAGUUGUGUUGGACUAGAUUCGAGAAAUGCAUAAUCAAAGCAUUUUCCGUUCUUCAGCCAGCCAUGCCUGGAAUCCAUCGUUGUGCCAAGAAAUAGUGCAACUUUUUCCACUAGGUGAGAUGCACUUUUGGCCCAUAGCGAGAUAGGAUAGAAGUUUUCAGAUCAGCUCCCAAUGAGAUUAGUAGAAUCUAAUGAGGAGAAUCAAAAGAGAGGUUGCCAUAGCAGUCAGUGGUUUUGCCUGGGACAGACGUGGCGCACUUGAUUGACCUUGCUUCCGGACUAGCUUCUCUUUUCAUACCUGGCACGGCAGAUUGAGUGAGUGAGUCCACUGUUUACGUUACAACUAGCAGUAGCGUGUCAAUUCUAGUCAGAAAAAAAGCUUUCCAUUGAUUCAUGAUAGUGCCGUGCCGUGCCGUACUCAACUGGUAUCAAAAGUGAGAAAUAGGCGAUAUUCUCCUAAAGAAAGGACGGUUGGAUUUUAUUUAGACAGAUUAUAAGAAACCUUUUUGGAUCCUUAGCGAAACAUCCCUUAUUAUUAAAUGCAUAUGGGCUUGACUUGAUGGUUUUUGAUGAAGUCGGUUCCCACUUUUCCAGUCAGGUUGGGAGACUUUUUUAGGGAAUUGACUCGUGUUUGACUUGAUCUGUCCACUUUGCAUUACUCUCUUUUUUCGAGCAUUACUUUCUUUGUUCAACUCAUAAGUGGAGUGUGUACGACUCCGAGAACAGUGAUCGAAUAACCAACCUCUUUCCUUGCGUGUUCAUUUUCUUUCCUUGCUCUACUUUUUGGCGAGAAAAGAAGAGCGAAGUAAAACAAUGAGUACCUGCCCUAUAGGCAGCAAAAGCCCUCAAUCUUUUUUUCUUUUUUCUAUUUGACCACCAUUUUUUUCUUAUUUCAACGCUUCUUCAUAAAAACGACUUUCAUCAGUCCGACAUUAGAAGGAAAAGAACGAUGAAAGAUUCCAACUUACUUCACUCAAAGAGUAGAAGCUUCAUCCUCCUAGCGAGCCGAGCCAGCCGAACUCAACCUUUUCUUAUCUAGAACUGCCAACAGUGGAAAGCAUACCACAUUAUCUCCAUUCCAUACUGAGUCCACAGCCCAGGGCUUUCUUUAAUAGCGGCUAUCCCCCGGAGAAUCCUUGCAUUUUGUUGAAAGGAAGCCUCCUCGGCAUGAUUUGCACGACCGAGGUCUUACUCUUUCGUUAUGCUUUAACAUUUCUAUUUUAUAUGUUAUUGGAUAUUUCAGUUAAUUACUUUCAUUCCCGAGGCUGGAUUUCCUUACUCAAUGGAGAGCGAAGCUCCCCUCAAUUCUGGCCAGGAUUCAAAGACCUAUUCGGGCCUAGCCCUCCUUUUCUUUCUUUGUGAGGUGUCGACAGAACUCACUUCAGAGAUAGAGUGGCGGGUACUUCUGGGUCGUAUUCUCGCUCAGGGAAAGCUACACUAUAGGAAGUCAGGAAGUCAAACAACGGAAGCAGGUCUGGCGUAUCGGAUCAAUCUGCGACUGGCCUUUUAUUCAUAACAUUAGUAGUUACUCAUUGGGUGCCAUCAGAUGAACGAACUAGUUUUCCACAGAAGAGGAUUUGAGGUAGGGCUGCUAGAGAAACUGACAAGGAAAUCACAAGAAAUAGAGAUGCUUCACGCCCAGCCAAUCUUGAAAGCUUGUACAGAGAUCCAGAAUUGCAUCUUCAGAAGAAUAAUAAGCUAAGCGUCGCGUCGAAUCUGGACUGGAAAGUCUCUAGAAGGAUUUGCACUCCUACACUGCCUUAUCAACGGAUUCCUGAGAGAAGGGGCCGGGCUAUUCAUUCCUUCGAGGUGCCGCAGUAAAGGUAGACUAGCUUAUUGGGCAAAAAGGUGCCGUACUUCUCAAUUGUGAGACUAGAGCUUGAUCCUCUCUUACGAGAUUUCUAGUUCGAGAUUUCGAGUUUCCUGAAAAGAAAGCGAAGAAAGAGUUCUGUAUUGAAGAUGUCAACUGCCAACUGCGUGCUUUCCCCAAUUCUUCUCUUACGAAAUGGAUCGUUGAUUCCUACCACUGAUGGAUUUAUGCCGACCUUACCUUACCUUAAAAGGAGAAGGAACGGGGCUUCCAGAGUCUGAAAUGCAACUUCCAAUUGACAUAGAAUAGAAUGAUCCAACGAACCCAUACUCGUACUCGGGAAGGCCAGCUGGAAAUGCAGUGCAGUAAAGUAAGUAAUUCAGUAAGUAAUGCACUCAGUGCCAGUGCCGGUUAAGGGUCUAUUGCCAGUGCUAGCGGAAAGAACCGGGCUAUGCGCAGUGGAAUAGAAAAACGAAUAUCAGGAUUUCAUAGAAACUAAUGGAAAAGAUGGAAAUAAUACCGAACUCUUCUAUUGAUUUAUGGCUCAGGGCAGGUGUAACUUAGUGUGAUAGUCUAGUUUGUUUCAUUUAGGAGUGCGUAUAAGUGAGCUUGGUACCAUUCCAUCUUCUUAGCUGUAGGCUUAUUGCUAAGGAUCGAGUGUGGACAGAAAGGUUUGAUGAUCUAGGUCAUUAGUCUCCGGUUUCUCUUUAUGUGUUUGUUCGUCUAUUAUAGUAUAUACGACAGAUUCAUAGCUUCUCAGAUCUUUAUGCGGGCGCAUACAUCUCGAAUCCCUCACCUAAGAAGGAAAGCGAUAGCCAUCCAUUUCUUAUCCUUCGGCCAGGCCGGAUCUAGAUUAGUGACCUUGCUUCUUGACUUUCCCCUGCUUGUUCAAAUCAUGAUAUCCUUGCCCUGUAGGCAUCCCUCAUACGAUCCGAUCUACUUUGAUUGUUUCAUAGCAUAGGUUUGUUUACAAGAAGUGGUAGCUUUCUGUGUUCCUAGCUUGAUGGCUUUUCUUACAUUCCUAUUUCCACAUUCCUAUAUUUCCUUUAUUUUCAGGUCUGGCACUGGGCAUAAGUUUUUGGUCGGCGGGAAGAUACACCCAGCACAUAUGUUUUAGGUCAGAGUCCCAUCCUACAUUGACUAUUUCCACACUUUAUAGAAAGCAUUUGGUACAUUGGGCAACCCGUUUGAUCACACAAGAGAUGAAAUGGAAUUAUUCUUGGCAUAUUUCCUAUCAUUUCACUACCGAGAUCUGAUCAAUAGGAGGGCUCACCCGGGUUCUAGUUCAAUCACUCCAAUCCAUCUUUUCUUUUCUCGGGCCAAGAUGCAAUAGUUUACCGGUCUAGUUCGUUUUCCCGAGAACCUACCUGCCCUAAGCGAAGAAUGCCUAUUCUGGACCAAUUUCUAAGGGAAGAAGAGAAGGUUUGGCACCUGCUUCGGAGAAAUGGUUUCUAAGUACUGGGAUCCAACCAGUUUGCUUUUUCUGACAGCACCUGGGAAAGAAGUAUUCAUUGAACAAGAACAAGGAUCUACUAGUCCAACUUUCAUUCCAAUCUCUAUUCCUAUCAUCUCGCUUUUUCGGACAAGUUUUCUUCUUAACACAGGAGAACAGGAGAUGCAAUGUCGUUAGGGCCUUCUCGGUCUCCCCAACUAGGGGAAACCUCAAAGCAAACAUCCUUCUUCGGACAAGAACUGGCCCAUCUGCAUCGAACUAUUCGAAAUCUUGAAUCCCAUUUCCCUAAUCAAAAGGGAGGGAAGGCACUUAUAGCAAAGCAGGUACGAGAUAUCGUUUCUACCAAAACCAUGCUAUCUACCAGCACCAUUCUUGGCAAUUGAGAGAAGAAGCAGUCUACCGGAGCGAGAGAACGAACCUAGCGUUUUGAGCCCUUGGAAAACAUCAUUGAUAUAUGCUAACCCGGAGAUUUCUUGGUUCAUCAUGCUAUUGCAGAAGGUUUGCAUGCAACUACAUUGAUUUGGGUUUAUGCUUCGUCGCCGAAGGUCUUAUAAGAAGAAGUGGUCCUCGGCUGAAGCUGUUUGUAUAAGAAAGCCGAAGGUUCUUCUUCGUGUAGCUUCGGCAUCACACUCACCGACUUAAAGAUAGAAGACCCUUAGUCCAUAAAGGUCUAGUCAAUGUUGUAAGUUUUUAUAAGGGGCAUACUUGUAAUCCUCACAGGCUGCGUCCUGUCCUAUAAAUAGUGAACAGUAUUCCGUUACGUCACGCAUUCUGGUAUUUGCAAUCGCAUCUCUCGGAAUUCAACCUUUGUCAAGGCAAGGUAUCAUUGUAUUUGAUGAUUCAAUAUAUUAAGUGAAUAAAUAUAAUCGCAUUUGUGAUUCAUUCAACAUUUUUAUCUUUCGUUGUAUUAUCUUACAAUGUUUAUUGAAAGUUAUUACGAAGGUAACUUGUAUAAUACUUUCACCAACCUUGUCCAGACUCAUUAUUCCAAAGGAAUAAGCUUACGGACGAAGACAUAUCAUUAACAUUUUAUGUUCCUUGUUCUUAAUUCAUAGCAUUUGAGAACAAGUCCCCAACAUUGGCGCCCACCUCCGUGAACUCACUUCCACUNNNNNNNNNNNNNNNNNNNNNNNNNNNNNNNNNNNNNNNNNNNNNNNNNNNNNNNNNNNNNNNNNNNNNNNNNNNNNNNNNNNNNNNNNNNNNNNNNNNNGGGAGGCCGGGACGGGAGCCGAGCGCCGCCGCGGGAGGGAGGCCGGCGCGAGCGGGGCGGCGCGAGCGCCGCCGCGGGAGGCCGACGGGCGGCAGGGCGCCGCCACGCCGGCAGGGCGGUCGGGCGGGCAGGGAAGAGGAGGGCGCCGCGCGGAAGAAGAGGAGGGAGAGGGAGAGAGAGAAGAGAAGGGGAGGAGGGGAGCUCACCUCGGGGUCCAAAAUCCAGUGAUCGCCGUCUCCAAAUCCUAGGGCACCACGGGGAGAGAGAGGUGGAAGAGGGAGAGGAGAGGUUGUUGCCGGGAGAUCCAAAUGAGAGAGAGAGAGAGGGGGCCCGGGGGGUUUGGGCGCCAGGGGCGCGCAGCCGGGGCGGGCCGGCCGGCUGGGCUGGGCUAGGACUAGUUGGCGGCGGGCCACUUCGCGGAUCGAAAACCCACGACAGCGCGACCACUAAACGGAAUUAAAUCGCGAACCGAAAUCCGGAACGAACGAGACGAACAUCCAACAUCAGACAAAGAAAUGUGCUUCGGCAUGAUGCAACACCCAUGACACUUAGGUUUUGGUUUAUACAUGACACGGACACCUGCCGCUAUACUGGUUUGAAAUUGGGAAGAAGAGCAAACGGGGAAAGAGAAAAGAGAGUAACGCCCGAAUUUGGUGAAGAAAAGAAAAAAAAAUUCUACCCCCAAAUUCAGGGCGUUACAAACCUAUCCCCCUUAAAAGAAUCUCGCCCUCGAGAUUCAGGGUUGGCUAGCAAAGAGCUCAGGGUAUUUAGCCAUCAGAUCAUCUUCACGCUCCCAGGUUGCUUCUUCCUCAGAGUGAUGAUCCAUUUGACUUUGCACAUUCUGAUGGUCUUCCUUCGGGUGACUCGUCUGCAACUCAAGGAUUGCACUGGCUUCUCACGUAGGUCAAUCCCCUGACUCAAGACCUCCACUGGCAAUGCUCUUCGGACACGCAAGCACUUCUUCAACUGAGACACAUGAAAGACAUCAUGCACAGCGACAAUUCCUGCAAACUGAGCUGAUAGCCACUUCUCCACGUCUGCAAGAUCUGAUACGGACCAAUGUAGCGGGUGCUAGCUUGCCUUUCACUCCGAAUCUCUGACUCCUUGACGUGACACUUCAGAUAGACAAAGUCUCGACUCGAAACUCAGCUCUCUUCUUGUGUCGCUAGCUUGCUGCCUCGAUUGCGUAUCUUCAAUUCUCUCGACCAUCUGAUGUUCUCUCGGCUCAAGAAAAUUCUGCCCAAACACUUGCUUCUCCAGGCGUCCCAUGCAACGAGUUCUCAACUCCUUCCAUAGAGCGCCUGAAAUGUGACAUCUUCAAACUGGCCUGGUAACUGUUGUUAUAGGAAAACUCUGCAUAAGGCAAUCUCUUAUCCCAUCCGGACUGAUCUUGCAACGCACAGGUCUCAACAUGUCUUCAAGAAUUAUUGGUCCUUCGGUCUGCCAUCUGUCUGCGGAUGAUAAGCUGAACUGAAAUUAGAUGGUGCCAAGCUUAUGCAACUGCUCCGAAAUGAGGUGACUGCGUUCUUGUCUGCACUAUUUCUUUGGCACACCAUGAAGACAAACGAUCCGAGACAUAUACAACUCUGCCAAUACGCACUGCUAUAGUUGGUCUUGACAGGUAUGAAGUGGGCUGACUUGGUCAAACGGUCCACUACUACCCAAUGGAAUCGUAGCCGGCUCGAGUGCGAGGCAAUCCGACUAUGAAAUCCAUACCAAUUUCAUCCCAUUUCCACUGAGGGAUCUGCAACGGUUGCAACAACCGCAGGUCUCUGGUGCUCUGCCUUAAUUCUUCGCAACUAUCGCACAUAGCCACAUGCUCUGCGAUUUCCCUCUUCAUCCAUACCACCAGAAUCUUCUCAGUCUGAUACAUCUUCUCCGCAGGUGAAUCGAAUAGGCUGUCUCAUGAGCUUCCUUAAAUCAACUCCCGAAUGACUGGACAUUGGGAACAACAAGCGGUCUUACCAUAUCACCCUUCUGCUCUUUCGAAAUCUUUGCCUUUGCCUUCUAGAAUCAGUCGCCGGAUCUCACUGAUUUUAUCAUCAUUCUUCUGCGCUUCUUGAUUUCGCGCUCUAAGGUAGGUUCCAACUCACUGUGACUCCUCGCGAAUUGUUCAGAAAACCGAGACUCAACCUGUCGAACUCCUUAGCCAACUCAUAAGGCACGACGAGCGACCAUCAGAUUGACUGACUCUUUCUGCUCAAAGCAUCUGCCACUACGUUUGCUUUGCCUGAUGGUAAUGGAUCUCCAACUCAUAGUCUUGAUCAACUCUAACCAUCUUCGUUGCCUCAUGUUCAACUCUGACUGAGUGAAUAUGUACUUAGACUCUUUGGUCUGUGUAAACAUCGCAUUUCUGUCCAUACAGUAGUGCCUCCAUGUCUUCAGUGCGUGAACCACUGCUGCCAACUCUAGAUCAUGGAUGGGUAAUUCUUCUCAUGAACCUUCAGCUGUCGGGACGAGUAUGCCACAACUCUUCCCUCUUGCAUCAACACACAUCCCAAACCUGUGUAACAAGCAUCACAAUACACCGAGAGGGCUUGGCACAUCAGGCAAGAUGGACAGGCCUGUAGUCAACUUUUCUUUCAGCGCUUCAAAGGCCUCUUGGCAUUUCUGGGUCCACUUGAACUCAACUUUGUUGCCUAGCAACGCUGUCAUGGGUUUCGCGAUCUUCGAAAUCCUUCAAUGAAUCGCGAUAAUAUCCGGCCAUUCCAAUGAAGCUCUUGAUUCCUCUAGCAUCUGUUGGCGCUUUCCAGUUCAAAAUGUCUGCCACUUUCUUCGGAUCCACAGCCAAUCCUUCUUGUUGAUUAUGUGACCCAAGAACAGGACUUCACUGAUCCAGAACUCACACUUGCUCAACUUCGCAUACAACUGGUGCUCUCGCAAUCUCUGCAAUACCAGCCUCAAUGAUUGCGUGCUCUUCUUCGCUUGAGAAUAAACCAGAAUGUCAUCAAUGAAUACCACCACAAACUUAUCAAGGUAAUCCAUGAAUACACUGUUCAUCAAGUUCAUGAAGAUGCUGGCGCAUUGGUCAAACCAAAGACAUCACUGUGAACUCAUACAAACCAUACUUGGAAAUGAAUGCCGUCUUCGGAAUGUCCGAAGGUCGGAUCCUGAGCUGAUGAUAACCUGACCUCAGAUCAAUCUUGGAGAACACGCUGGCUCCUCUCAACUGGUCGAACAGAUCUUCUAUUCUAGGCAAGGGUACUUGUUCUUGAUCGUGACCUCAUUUAAAGCUCGAUAAUCAAUGCACAUCCUCUUGGUGCCAUCUUUCUUUUCCACAAAUAGGACAGGGCGGCCCAAGGCGAGGUGCUUGGCCGAAUGUAACCUUUCUCUGACAGCUCAUCAAUUUGCUUCUUAAGCUCAACCAACUCUGGUCCAGAUAUUCUGUAAGCUCUCUUGAAGAUAGGGCGGUUCCAGGAAGAAGCUCUAUAGCAAACUCAACUUUCCGCUCUGGUGGCAUACCCGGUAGGUCCUUUGGAAACACAUCUGGGAAUCGGACACAACCUUGAUCCUCUCAAUUGGGUCUGCUUCACUGCUAUCAACAGCUAGCUGAUAACAACUUCCUUUCUUUGGCUCAAGCGGGACUAACUCGGUCACCACUUCCUCUCCUAGUGGGACACCAACUUGAUUGUCCUUUUAUCACAACUGAUAACUGCCUGAUACUUAUCUAGCCAAUUCAUCCCUAGGAUGACAUCUAUUCCCUGAGUACCCAUUACUAUAAGGUUGGCGGGAAAUGCUAUCCCCCUUAUUUUCACACUUAUAUUCAACAAAUGCUAUCGCUCGAAUUCUACCACCGGCUGAAUCGAUUGAAUGGGGGUUGACAUGGUAGUAAUUAGAAGAUUAUGUGCUUCUACCCAUGAUGCAGUAAUGAAAGAAUGCGUUGCUCCUGUAUCAAAUAACACUUCUGCAUAUGGGAGUCGACUGGGAACAUACCUACUAUCAUGCCGGGGUCUUCUGAACUGCUUCAGCUUCCAAGUGGUUCAGCCUUCCAUGAUUAUAGCGCGGCUGAGGGCGAUUGCCUGCUCCAAGCUGAGACACAUUCUGCUUUGCUGGGGCAUUGGGGCCUGACUGCUGCUGGGCUGCCUUCUUCGGACAUGCAUCACCCAGUGGCCUUGCUCUCCACAGUGGAACAUGCUCUGUUUCCAACCUGAGCUGGUGCUGCCUGACUGUUCUGCUGGUUUGCUGGGGCAGGAAGACGAGGUGCCUGCUGAUUCUGCCUUUGAAACUGACUCCUGACUGAUUGCUCUGACGGUUCUGAUACUGAUUCUGAGGGUACUGCCUUUGGAACUGCUGAUGCUGCUGAGGUGGACGCUGGUUCUGCCUGAACUGCUGAGGUUGAUUGCCUGAGAAACGAGGACGAUUGCUGCUUCCAGGCUGAGGUCCACUGAUCUUGCGCUUACGAUCUUCCAUCUCCUUACGCUUUCUCUCCGUCAUGAUUGCUCUGUCAAUCAGGUGUUGGAAUGUCGGAAAGUGUGAUUCAUCAGUUGAUACUGCAGAGGGUCAACCAAGCCUCUCAGGAAACGGUACUGUCGCUUGGCGUCGGUGUUGACAUCUUCAGGAGCAUAGCGAGACAAUUGCAGAAACUUGUCCCGGUACUCACUGACAGACAAUGGCCCUUGCUUGAGGGCCAGGAACUCCUCCUUCUUCACUGUCAUCAGACCUGCGGGAACAUGGUACUGACGAAAGCUACCUCUGAACUCUUCCCAGUGAUGGCGUCAGGAUGGGCAUGGGUGGCGAGGUAAGACUCCCACCAUGAUUGGGCUGCUCCUCUCAACAGACGGGGACCAUACAGAACCUUCUCCCUGUCAUCGCACUGAGCGGUAUGCAACUCCCGCUCCACAGUGCGCAGCCAAUCUUCAGCAUCCAUGGGGUCAGAAGAGUGAGCGAACGUUGGUGGAUGACCUCUCAUGAAUUCAGCACGCUUGUCUCUGGCAUCUGAGGCACCUGAGGCUGAGUGGGGCCUGCUGCUGCUGUUGCUGCUGCUGCUGAAUGCGGCCAAAGUCUGACCGAUGGCUUGAACUGCCUGAGUCUGCAUCAGAAACAUCUGCUCGAUGGACAUCGGGGGCGGGGGCGGCAGGUGCUGCUGCUGGGGCACCUCUUCCUGUUGAGCGGCUCGCUCCUGCUGAGCACGCCUUCCUCCUCUGCGCCUGUUCUCUGACAUCUGCAGAAUGCAACCACACAUCAGAACUGAUCUGGCAAAUCUUGCAGCAUAAGGAAAGAGAAUAGAACUCCUCAACAGCACUGAACAGAUGAGCAUCUUCACUGAUCUCCAACACAGACCACACAGCUUCUCAGAUAAAGAGGAAAGUAGAAUAAAAGGUUUCCCAACUAGAUAACUAAUUCCAUUAACAUAAUGGGUAAACCAAAAUGCAGGGGAUACCCACACUCUGGUGACAAUCAUUACAAAGAUCCAAACCAAACAUAGUUCAUCAUGACAAACAUAGAUGCACAGGAUAUAGCAAACUACCCUGUCUAACUAAGACUAACUAAGACCGAACCAACGCUAAGACUGAAGCUUGUACGUAUAUAUUUCGUAUUAAUUACAAGAUCCAACUCUAACGAUCUAUGGUUCUAGAGUUAUCUUGGUCUUGCAGUCGGGGUUGCCAUAAGACUGGUGUCCACGCUGAGGUGAGCGGUAUGGGUGCUGAGUCCCGACGGGAGCGGGGGAACCACCAUCCAAGUGACGACGUUCCGCGCGCUCAGCCCGAAGCAGGGCGAUCUCAGCACGAGCCCUACUCAGCUCGUCUAAUGCAUGGUCCAGCUUCGUGUUUAGCACGGCGGCUAGGUUGACUGUGCUGCUCAACCUAGGAUUGCCCUCACCAACAGGUGAGGCAAUCACGCCUCCUGUGCUGCCAGAUGGACGGCGGGGGUAAUACUUCAGGUCAAGACCGUCAGCUGCCCCACCGAAAACCGAGCAGUAGUGCGAAAGCGCACGCCGUGCAGCAUCUUGCAUGGCUGCCUCAGCUGAGUCCCGCUCAGAGAUAGAAUAGUGCUCUGAGCAGGCCUCCGCACCCUGGAGACUGUUCUCCGGGCAGCGCACCAAGCAAGUUGCCUCCCAGCGGUCCGGGUAGACCCCGCGACUAUGCUGGUAGACCACACAGCGAUACUCGACGGACCAAGUAUGCCGGUUAAAUGCCCGACGUAGCAGGGUGUCGAGCGCAUCAUGGAAGUGACACCCGCGAGCAGCGUCGCGAGUGAUGGGUCGAGCAACCCAUCCUUCCGGCUCAGGGUUAGCAGAGAAGUCGGUGUCGUGGCUCGAGCUGUCGUCGCCAUCUCCGUCGUCUGGGUCUCCUCCAGCAGCUACUCCAGAAGCUGGGGCACCCAGUGGUGGUGCAGGGGGCGGCUCCAGAGGAAGCACAGGGGAGCAGCUCCUCACAGACUCUAUCUCCUGUUGGAGCGAGAAAGAAGAGCUCUGCUGCUCCUGUCGUCGACGCUCCUGCUCCUCACGCAGGCGAUGGUGUAGUCUCUCCAAGUGGCUGGACUGUCCGGCCACGGGACGGCGAAGCGGACGCUCAGCAAGGCGGGAGGGUAAGAAGGGGAUGACUGACUUUCGUGCAGUGUGUCUAAGUCGAGCCAUCUACAAAAGACAUCGCAAGCAAAAGGGUGAGAACAGAAUUAAUAUGACCAGCAAAUAAUGAAUCAUAAGUAAAUGAAGGAUUAGAAUAAAACAUGAUUUUCAGCAAGGUAUAAUAUAUAGUAGAACAUAGGUUUGGUUGGUAUGACCAACUUUUGAAGGGAUAUCAAAGUCAAGGCAGAGACAGAGGUCUAUAGUCCUUAGAACGACCAUUCUACUCUAGGUUAGCGGUCCUACAGUCAGCACGGCUCUGAUACCACUUAUGUCACACCCGGUUUUAGAAGGCAAACCGAAUGCGAACCAUGUACGUGCCAGGAUCAGUUAUUCACGUACACAGCAGUUACAUAAUAUGGACAUCAUCACACAGUGCUCAAAAUAGUAUUAAUAAGGGAAAUAGUCGGUUACAUCAUACGUCUGAGACGUCCAUAUAGUUCUUACAAUAAAUCAAAGUGCGGAAAAGAAACGUAGAUAACUGCGGCCUUCAUAGGCAGCCGACUGGGGGUUGCCGCUAACCCACACCUAGAACUCGUCGUAGUCUUGGAACUCCUGGAAGUCUCCUUCCACGGCUUCAUCUUCGCCUGAGCAGUGGUUGCAAUGCUGACAACCUGGGGAUGGGGGGGGGUUUGGUGUGUAGAGCAAGGGUGAGUACACAUCAACAUACUCAGCAAGUAUCCUGUUUGGCUAUAGUGGACUAGCUGUAUGUGGGGAUAAGUCAAGCAUUUGCUUUUAGUUGGUCAGAUUAUUACUUACUAGUAGAAAGCCAAGUUUUAGCAUUAGCCCAAGUUAUUAACCCGAUGUACCCUUUCCAAACGGAAAGAAUACCACUUACCAGCACCAUAGCCAUAACCAGAAUCAUCGAUCUCAUAACCACCUGUACCAAAGUAUCUCUGAUCAAGUACCACUAAUCACUGGAGCUCCCUUGGCCGCUCAUAACCGUGAGCACGGCUGAUAUAUCAGUUUUCAAACACUCUACAGAGGUUGUGCACUUUACCCACAAGCCGUGAUUCCCAUUCUGCCCGGAGAUCAUGACUCUCCAUUGAUCACUACCAAGGUGACCCAGCAGGGCAUCACUACGUAGCCUUUACAAAGAUUCCCCCGGGCUGUAGCCACCCGUUAGGUUUCCUAAAUGCACCGCACUCCUCCCCAAGGGGCGAACCCAAACUUGGUAGAGCGAGCCGCAUACACCGAGCCCCAUUGACGGCACGACGGCUAAGUGAACUACACCCCGGAUCCUCUAAUUAAUCAGCUAAGGGCACCCCAUUCCACCCUCAUGGUUGCACUGUUUUCCCGGCGGUCAUCCAUAGAACAGGUCCUUACGGAGAGGCACUCGAGAAACCGCUCGAGCCCCCUUGAUGACCACAAGCAUACAUCAUAAUAAGAGAGGGGAAAACAGCGUAUCAUAGAUAAUCUCAUCAUGUUCAUUGAUUAGAGUUUAAGCAAUAGCAUAAAGCUAAACAGUAAUAAUCCAACCCAGAUAGGUAAACAAGGACAUGGAUAACAAAAGCUAGUAAAUCCUUAGGCAUAAAUGUGUGAAGCGGGAGGUGAAUUAAAGAAUGAAUAGGACAGAGAUAGGUCAAGGGACACUUGCCUCCACCAACUGACUGCUGCUCAGGGGCUUCUCCUGCGGGUUCCUCGGGCUCUUCAACCGGAUCGUUCUCUAUGCGAGCGCAAACAUACAUACAUCCACAUAUUUUAAUACCAAAGAACAGUACACCAUACAAUAGAAUGCAAUAAGUAAACAGACGUUCCACGCGGGCUCGCGAGUACGGUUAAGAGAGAAAGAGGAAAAGACAGUCGAGAAACGAUCACGUUACAUGAUUAUAAAUUAGCCACUCGCUUAAUGGAAGGAAAUUUAAUGUAGACACUAUGUUUAGCGUAAAGUAAAGUCAUGUUUCAUGUCUAAUUAUUAUAAGCAGGUGGAGAUACAUAAAAGGAUGGUCGCGCGGCGAGACGCGCGACAAAGCUCUCUAAAACAAAUUAAGAAAUUAACGACUCGUCGCGCGACCGAGCACGCAGCGAGACACUUUGCCUUAGUUAAGAGGAGACGUUAAGCGUCGCGCGACAAAGCGCACGACGGCACACGUCGACUAAACUGAGUCCAAAGUGGAACGUCGCGUGAAUACACACGCGGCGUUACACCUUAAACAACCUGAAACAAAAAUGGAUCGUCGCGCGACGAAGCGCACGACGCAACACGAGAUAGAAUAAUCACCGCGCGACGCAACACGCUAAUUAACGAAUAAUCACCGCGAGCGCGGGCGAGCGAAGAUACGGUCGGGCGAGGCCGGGACGGGGGAACGGGCGGGCGAGCUGGGGCCAGGGCGGUUGAACCGGCCAGGGGGCGGUUGAACCGGCCAGGGCCGCGCCGGGGACGCGCCGGGGGCCGGGGGCCGCGCCGGGGUCGCGCCGGCGAGCAGGGGCCACCGGGGCCGCGCCGGGCCACGCCGGGGGCACGCCGGGGCCGCGCUGCGCGCGAGCAGGGGAGGAGCGGGGGCGGGCGGGCGAGCCGGGGGCGGACGCCGAGCGCCACCGCGGAGAGGGGCCGAGCGGGCGGGCCGAGCGCCGCCGGGGCCGGGGGCGAGGACGGGGACGGGGUCGCCGCGCCGGGCAGGGGCGGGGACGGGCGGGGCCGCCGCGGGGAGGGGCGGGGGCGGGAUCGCCGCGCCGGGCAGGGGAGGGGCCGAGCGGGCGGGGCCGCCGCGGGGAGGGGCGGGGGCGGGAGCCGCCGCGUCGGGGAGGCCGGGGAAGGGGUCGAGCGGGCGGGCCGCCGCGGGGAGGGGCGGGGGCGGGAGCCGCCGCGCCGGGGAGGCCGGGGAAGGGGUCGAGCGGGGGGGAAGAGGCCCGGGACGGGGAGCCGGGCGCCGCCGCGGGAGGGAGGCCGGGCGGGCUAGCCGGGGGCGGGCGCCGAGCGGGCGGGCAGGGGCGCCGCCGCGGAGGGAGGGGGAGGGGCCGAGCGCCGCCGGGGAGGGAGACCGGGCGGGCGCCGCCGGGGAGGGAGGCCGGGGACGGGGAGCCGAGCGCCGUCGCGGGAGGGAGGCCGGGCGGGCGAGCCGGGGGCGGGCGCCGAGCGCCGCCGCGGGGAGGGCCGAGCGGGCGGGCAGGGGCGCCGCCGCGCCGGGCAGGGGCGGGGUCGGGCGCGGGCAGGGGGAAGAGGGAGGGCGCGCGCGCGGGGAAGAAGAGGAGGGAGAGGGAGAGAGAGAGAAGAGAAGGGGAGGGGAGGGGAGCUCACCUCGGGGUCCAAAAUCCGGUGAUCGCCGUCUCCAAAUCCUAGGGCACCACGGGGAGAGAGAGGUGGAAGAGGGAGAGGAGAGGUUGUUGCACGGAGAUCCAAAUGAGAGAGAGAGAGAGGAGGGGGCGCACGGGGGGUUUUGGGCGCCAGGGGCGCGCAAGCCGGGGCGGGCCGGGCCGGGCCGGCUGGGCUGGGCUGGACUAGGUUGGGCGGGGCCGGGCCACUUCGCGGAUCGAAAACCCACGACAAGCACGACCACUAAACGGAAUUAAAUCGCGAACCGAAAUCCGGAACGGAACGAGACGAACAUCCAACAUCAGACAAAGAAAUGUGCUUCGGCAUGAUGCAACACCCAUGAGACUUAGGUUUUGGUUUAUACAUGACACGGACACCUGCCGCUAUACUGGUUUGAAAUUGGGAAGAAAGAGCAAACGGGGAAAGAGAAAAGAGAGUAACGCCCGAAUUUGGUGAGAGAAAAGAAGAAAAAAUUCUACCCCCAAAUUCAGGGCGUUACACAUAGCCAGAUGAAAAAGUUCACUUUCCGGACCUGGUUUUUACCCAUUUUACGAGCGAAAUGAAAAAAACCGUACUUUUGGCAUGAAAGUUUCCGAAAAUCAAGCUCGAAAAAGAGGCAUUUAUGAGGGAAACGAGAAAAAAGUGUCACUUUGCCACAGGCGAGACGGAACAGAUCUUAAAAUGGAGGCUUUCCAAUUUUAUGAGCAGAAAUGUUAUGUUAAGUAAUUUCGCGGGAUUUCCAUCGUCUACAGUUGAGGUACUCCCGCCAAUCUCAGGUCCUGCUUCUAGCAACCAUAAUAACUAGCCGUUUAGCACUAUCGAACUAUAUGAGGAUAACUUUUCUCAAAGAAUAGCAAUGAAAUAGCGUAAGAGUGGUGCCUCACAUUGGUUAAGUGGUCCGAAUAGAGAAGUUCUAAGUGUGAAUGGUAUCGCCCUGUUUCUCACUCUGUGAAGGCAGCGGAUAUGGUUCCACCAUCGUUUCAGGGCAGUGAUCUCCACUCUGAAUAGUCCUCCCUCAAGUUGCAGGUAGGGGUACAGCUUCGUGCGUUGAUGGUGAAAACCUAUUCUUUUGGAAAGGAUCACUCCAAUCCGGUUUAAGUAGGAGCGGCAUUUCUAGCUGACUAUAGAAAUCUGGUUGCCGGGCUUUCUUCAAACAAUUGGCACUAUAGACGUAGUUACGGUAAUAGAAUUGCCAUGUUCCGCGCUCGAGAAGCUAUCUAUUUUACUUUUACGGUGAGUGUAAGCAACAUAGACAAAAAAAAAAUAAUUGGAACUCUUUCGUGGUGUAGGUAUCUCUCUUUGCAAAUUGAGAUACCGAGGCCCCUACUUACCUACCGGGUAGGUGGCAUAAGAGAAUCCUGUGCAGUCGAGCAUUUUCAUCCUCUCUUCAACCACUGCCAGCAACUUUUUCUACUAGUCGGAAAUCAAUUCAAUAUAGUAUUGCAAUCAUGAGCAUCAGUGGAUCUUUAGAUCUUCUCGAUCUGGCACUUUGGUAAGCUAAGCGGAUUGAGUGAACUGACUUUCCUCUUGUUCCGAGAAACAGGUAGAUCGGUAAAGCAGGUAAAGAGUGCCGCCCUGUGACUUAAAUGCGUAGACUAGCUUCUUCUUUUCUUCGGAAUGGCUCCCGGGUUAAAAUAGGCUUUAGGCCUACACGAAUGGAAGGAAGCAAGCAGUUGGGGCAUCAGGAGAAGUUCUUGCUGUGGGAACUCAGAUAGCUGACUGGCUGGAUAGCACUGGUCUGUCUAGUUCUUGGAGAUAGCUCUUGUGAGAUAGCUCUUGUCUGGUGUCUGGCCUGGGUUUCGAGAGUGAGUUCCGGGAUGAUUGCCUACACGAAUGGAAGGAAAAGCAGGUACUUUAUAGAGUGGUUUGUAUCCACGAGUUUCGUAAGUGGUAUCCUUUCUUGUUUGACAAUGUGUCAAUAGAGUAGAGCUCUCCUCUUCAUUGGUCAUUUGCCGUCUCUCUAGAUCGAGAGGAUUGUGCUUGCUUGUCUGAUUCUGGAAACAAUGUAGUGAUCAUUGGAGUGGAGUUUUUUGUAUAUGCAUGCUCCUGCUCAUGAGCUUGACUUGAGCACUGUUCCGCAUACAGGAUUCAUUCCAAGCCAAGGGAAGACUCAUGAUUUCGACCGAAGCGGCCGGAUUGGAGGUAGAAUAGUUUGCUGGUUGUUUCCAGAGAGAGACAGACUGCCUUCUCUCAGGCUAGGAAGGAGGAAGAGCAAUAUAAGUCCGCCAAUGGAGGAAUAGCAAAUCAGUCCGCUAGUUCGGCUACAGAAUGGAAUGGACAAAGGAGUAGACUUGGAAAGGAAGGGUUAUCCUUGAAUGGAAAGUAAGCACUGCAGGUAUCUUCUGUUUAUACUAAUGGUGCCGCUAGCAAUCGGCCUGUUCGCCCACAUAACCCUUACCACUCUCUUUGGCUUCUCUUCUCUUACUGAAAUCGAGAAAAAAAAGUGAAUGGUUUGGCUUGUCGCGGACUCUUCUCCAUAACGCCUCCGCUGUUGUGCCAUUCUCUAGUCUCAUAACUCAUGGAUGUGCCAUAGGUUCGAUUCUAUUCUCAGCAGCAGCAUCACAAUCAUUGGACCCGACCUCAACAGGCCAAGAAACAAGAUUGAUCUGGUUUUCUUGCUUGAGUUGUGUCAAUGACAUAAAUAAGUUGUGGUGCCAUUCAUUCUAUCAUCCAUCGUGUACCGGUCGUCCCUAGUUAGAGACAACCACUUCAACAGGAGCGAGGAUGGAAUGCUCGACCGGAAGGGAUCUUAGGCUGGGCUCGGCCAACAGGAGAGGCUGAAAUGAUCGAAUGAAAUGAGAGGAAUAAGGCGAGAUACGAUAGAGAUUUCUCAAAUCAAGAGCUUAUCCGUGGCCUAUGCUGCUCUGCCCGGCUUCUAAUUCUUAAACGAUCUCUUCACCGGAACUCGUAAAAGAUAGGGCUCCCCCAGGCCUAGAGCAACGAUCAACUCAUCUGUUGAAUUUCAUUCAUUUCUGUGCAUUGCUUUUUGUUUGGGAAUGGGGAUCCGGAGUCUUCAUUUGAGGCAAAGAGUAGUUCUUGUUUUGGAUCAAGCCGGUAGAAAUUCGAAUCAUAAGAUUUGCAUGAUUUGUAAUGUAAUUUGGCCCAGGCUGAUUCCUCUUUCUAUUUAUCUUGGGCUUAACCCCGCUUCUCUUCGAAACCGAGGCAUUCCCCGUAGAUAAUUUAAGCCAAGGCUUAGGCGUAGAGCUCAACAAAGACAGUCUAGGCUCAAAAAUAAAAAGUCAAGUCAGAAUAUGGAAUAUGAGUGGGCCGCCAAGGCAAGACUUCUAUUCUCCCAACUCCUGAGAACUAAUAACAGGAUGAAACCGGAGACCAAUAGGCGGGCCGGGCAUCUUACCAAUAGAUCUACGGAAAAACUAGCUAGAUCCGGAGAAACUAGCUAGCUAUAUGAUAACCGGAGAAAAAGAGAGUUGUCUUUCUCUUUACCAGAUUCCCGAGUGAGAGUCCGCGCUGGCCCCGGGGCAGAUAUUGACAUUGCCAAUCCCAUAGGCAGAUGGAAACUUAUUCAUUCGAGAACUCUCCACCAACGGAAGAUAUGGAAAUGCACGGUACAACACUUAGCCCUUAGCCCGAGAAAGAGAUCUGAAUACGGAUAGUGGAGUACUUCCCUCCGAAAUCCAAAAAGUGCCACGACUUCCUAAACCCACCUUUCAAGUUGCGAUACAGGAAUAGUUCGAUUUCGAAGAAUGGCUUGAGCGAGUCCUUUCCAAUUCCAAUUUGAAUUUCUCUUAAUUAAUACGUUCUCCUAAUUAAUACGAUUCUCUUUACUCCUUUACUCUAUGAUAAAUUACAGUAAUUAGCGAAUGGUCCGGACUUGUCCGGACGGUUUUCAAAAUAAUAAAAAUAAUGAUUAAUGAUUGAUUUCUGACUAUUCUCUUCUCUUCUCUGUCUCCUUCAAGCUUCAGAAAAAGAUGGAAAGUCAGUAAUUUCAGGAAUGGCGAUUUUUGAUACGAUGCAACUGGUGAGGCCAGAUGUGUAUACAAUCCGCCUUAGAAAAGCGUUGUCCAUGGCCUCCUUGAUUCUGCUUGGAUGAGAACCCACUGGCACUAAUCGAAUAUCGGUUCCCAGCUCGCGCGGAGAGGGGGUCCCACUUUAAAGAGUGUGUAUAGUUUUUUAAAGGUACCUCGGUUGUUUAGAAGAGGCCCUGCUGGUGAACAUCAUUAUUCCUUUCUUCAAAUCCUUAAUCCGGUCAAUAUAUCUCGGAUAGAGCUGCAAAUCAAAGCAAAUACAGUUCUAUGUCUCUUUACUUGCGAGUUCUCUUUCCACCACCCACUGCCCGCGCCACGUUCUGCCAGCGGUCCGGCGUGUCCUUGUCGUAUGUCACCAGUGCCCUCUCGAACAGCUUGUUCUGCUUCGUCGUCCAUGAUGAACUCAUGGUUAGAUUUCUCUCAAUAUAUGUUAUGUUCAAGGAAAAGUUUAAGGUGUUCUGUAAUGGCUGCAACUGCUACUACUUUAGCUAUAAGGUCACUGGCUAGCUUGUGUUUGUAUGCAAGAAGAGCGAGGGACAAUGCCCAAAUGGGAAGCUUUACUGCACUCUGACCUUCAAAUAAGGUGCUGCUAACUACUAAUAUUAGUAAUCCUCAUAGGCAAAAUAUACCAGAAAGACUACUUGAAGAAUACAAAACAAGGCACUAGGCAGCCCUCCCGGCGAGCAUUUCUUUGCCCUUCAGCCCAUAGCCAUGUCCUGAAUGAGUGAUAUCACCAACUUGCAUUGAGGAAUACUGCGCAUAACAAAAAGCUGCAAUGCCGGGGAAUUUUCACGUACACUGAUGGAAUGUCCGUUGGAGACAUGGUGCACAAUAUGCACCAUCAGCUGCAGCCCAAUACCACGAAUUAUCUGUACGAUGAUUCCAAUUUCUAAAAGCAGGAUCAUAUUUUGGAAUCAUAAUGCAGAUUAUUGUACCUCAAAGGUAGGAUGAAUGUCAAUAGAAUACAUCUAGCUUCCUACCUUUACUUGUCUUCUCUUUACUUGACUAGCCGUUACUUCAACCCGAAACAAAGCAAUACUUCUGCUACAAAAGGCAACAAUUACUUGUUACUUAUUCCUCUAUUGGUUUCUCAAAACUAGACAUAAUGACACCAAAACGAACCGCCAUCCGAGUAUGGGCUAGAUUGACUUUCGAUUUACAGAACUGCUACAUCUUUUUUGCUUUGAUGUCGGUGUGAAUCUACCCACAUUUCUUAUCUGGGCCAGUGCUUUCCAUAAAACAACAGUCUGAGGAAUCAAAGAUCCUAACAGAAGCAGAAGGCUUGUCUUUCCUCGCUAAUAAACUGCUUCCCGAGCUAGAAGAACGAACAAGGGUUUUCGCCUAUUCCAUGCAAAAGACGGCUCUACUUCUUUGCCUAUUUAUUUUCUAACAACCCUGGCCUGGCUGAGAGGCAUCCUUGAUUUCGAAACAACUAACAGGAGUUCCUCCCAUCAGCUCAAUGGAAUGAAUUCUCUUGCAGUGCAGCCCUGGUGAUAAUACCAUUAGGAGGUGAUUGCGAGUCCACUAUGAGAUCGGGUACUUCCACUAGUCCUAUUCCUUUGCCGGGCAUGAUUUGUCUAUCAACGAUUCUCAAGUCGAGUAGACUCUCUCUUACCGCGAUGCUCAUUAUCUUCCGGUUCAGGGAAUCAGGACCUACAUCUCGUGUGGGCUAGAACCAGCCAAUAGCUUGACUCCGUUCACCGCUGCUUCCUUCAUUCGAUAUUGCUAGUCCAAUGGAAAGCUUUGCUUAGCUUACUGGACUUAAGAGCUUUCUGACUUGUCUCGAAAAGGCCGUCUCACUGUGUACGGAAGGCUCAGUUUACUCACGGUCCAUUCCACCACGAAAGGGAGAAAGGUACUGCUAUCAUGGGGAACACCUAUCUUUGAAAUCCUAUCUUUCAGCUAACGCUAGUCUAGUCUCCAUUGGAAUAAAUAGGGCCAGCCUGGCUCAACCAGAUGAAUAGUUUAUCUAUCAGCAGGGUCGGGGCAUAGCGUAGAAGUUCGGUCAGUCUCCGUUGGCACGGUACACUUUGUUCACUUUGUUUUUAAUACGUUACUUUUCGGCUUAAUAAUAACAAGCAUUAUUCCUGGGCACCGGCAACCCUACUACUGACCAGGGAAGAGAUCAUGAAUAGGGCGUGGUGCAAAUCUAGUAAAUGGUGCCGUCUCGUAUCAGUGAACGUUGUUUGCUUGAUGGAUUGACGGAAGUCCGCUAUUGAUUCGGGAACCACAAGUCGAAUAGGAAUACGUAGAUCAAUCUCUGAAAGCUGCCAGUCCAGAGUAGCUUAUUGGAAAUGUCCUCUGGAUUGAGUCCCUCGAUAUAGCAAUAUUAUUUGCCGAGUCAAGUAUAGUUCAAGUACUACUGCCAACAGGCGCAGGCUAUUAGUCUGAUUCCCUAGUAGCAAAAGUGGAUUCCCUCAUUCAGAAGUAGAUUACAUACAGACAGACAGGCCCGCAUUGCUUCGAUCCAGAGGUUCUUCUGUGAAUCCCUACCAUUACUGGACAAGAGUGGUGGACUCCCAUCCCUGAAACCAGCAAACGGAUCCAAUACACAUAAGACUUUUUUUCUCGGGAAAUUCCAAAUGAGGGAUGUCAUGCCCCACAAGUUAGUUGCCCAAGCGCUCCCUAGGAGGGCAGUCUACCACAAGAUAGAGUUUGGGCCUGGAGCCAAAGCCCCAACCCCUCCAUUUUUUGUUGAGCUCAGGAAAGAAUUUAAGGAAGUCACAUCGGCCCUCAUCAAGAGGAAUCUGAUCUCGCUUUGAUUCAUCCGUUGCGCGGCGGAUGAAUCAAAAACUCUCUGUAAUUUCCCAGUUCCCCAUCGUAUCAUAUCAGGUUUAGGGGCUACCUGGUAUAGAUGAGUUUAUUUGUGGUGCUACUACUUUAUUUUUUCUGAGUGAAUAACGUGAGUGAGUAAGCAAGAAGUGUUAGCCUUCCCCAUUGCAAAGAAUUCCUCGCAACAAGACGGAUUUCUUCUUUCCAAAGCAGUAGUGGAAGUGUUCGUAUUUCUUUCAAAGUGCCAGAAUCCAAGUGGCAAGGAAAAGCUUUAUUUGCAUAAUGAAUCAUGAUAUAAAGAGGAUUGGAAGUGUCGUGGUUCACACCUGGGUUGCGGAGCGGUGAUACGACUUUUCCAUAUCAAAGAUUCGACUCGAAAACCUUAUGAACCUGUUUUCCUUACUUCAACUAGGUUUCUUCUUCCUUUUAUCCAUAGGAGGGGAUGCAAGGAUAGCAAGGGUAACAAAACAGAUUAAGCAAUCAAACGGAUGUGCGAAGGAAAGUAGGACUUUUGACUAUGGCUGGCAUAAAAAGUUCACUUUGAUCGUACACUCUACUAGGCAAAACUGGUGUGAGUGGUUUUUACUAUGGGGGGCAUAAACAGUUGAAUAUGGAGAGUCGGCUGAGUUUAGGACAAAAAGACAAGGCGUAGUCUUUUGAGUCUGAUCAGUCUAGUGUUGCCUAUGUUGGGUAGGAAAUAAAAGAAUCAAAGCCCUCGACGUUAGCAGUUCUUAGCGGGACUUGACGUUCCUAACAGCUGUUGAGCUCUCGAAGUAUGAGAUCCUGAAUGCAUCCUCUUUCUUUCCACUUCAUCUUGGGAAUCUGGAAUGGUUGUUUAUGGCUGGGUGUGACAGAUCAGACUGAGUUUAGAAUGAGACUUUCUAUCUAUCUAUCUAGCUGUAUUGCCACUCCAACGGUUCUUUUUCUUUGAUUAUGCCCCGUAUCUCUCUGAGCCUAUUUGAUCUAUUUGCUAUAUCUAAGUUCGAGUGUGAAGUUCGCUCCGGUUGAAGUGUAGGGCUUCCUAAUUCCUGCUUCGUCCUCCUAUGAAUGCACUAGUAUAGAAGGUUGGCCCGUCACCGUAUACCAUCGUAAGAUGAACUGGAAAUUCGUAGUUUCAACCAGUUACACAAAAUAGGCAAGUUGAGGUUUGUUCAGCGUGUGUUGCCUCCAACUAUAACGAGGCCCUUUGACUUGAGGUACGAUCUUACCUCUUAACACGCUUUCCUGCUAGAAGAAGUGAGGGUGAUGUCCAAUGACCUGUUGAAGAAGCUUGCUGUGUAGAUAGGUUUCGUGAACCUAAUGUAGAACCUGUAAACGAAAGACUAGAGUCCCGGAACCGCUGCCAUUCAAAAAGCUAUCAAUCUGAUUCGAAAUACCAAGGUUCGAAGACCUCUGGCUUUGAUUGUGUGCCCUUUCUUGUUCCUAAGGAUUUCUAACCAGACCUUAACUUAGGCGGACGUAUACUCAAUUAUCAAUAAGACUAAAUCGUGAUCGACCCGCCAUCAUCUCUUGCCUGAACUGACUUACCAGUCACAGGGCCGAGAACACAUGAUCGAGGGAAAUUUCUUUCAUCACUACGAAAACUGGUUUUGCUGAUUGACAAAACGGAUCUCUUCCCUGUGAGCCGCCUUUAGGAAAACUGCACCAAAGAUGUGUCUUUGUUCGGUUCAGAUCAACAAAGCAUUUGCUAAUACCAGUCUGAAGGCAACGCUAUGCAGCUCCAUUUCCUCUUAAAGUGAAUGGCCUUCCUAUUAUAUCGAAUAUUUGGAGUUGCGGAGUUUUUCAUAGAAUGGGGUGUAGGCAAAUACCAACGUCGGUGAUUAUAGGGAAAUAGAUGCUUUCUUACUUAUGUUCUAUACUAGCACAUCAGCACCUACCUUUUCUCAUUGCUUCGUGAGGGUAGACAAUUGCCUGACUCGUACGUAACUGGGCCUGUUGUUUUCUAGUGCUUGAUAGUCUGUAGUGUAGUCUAUGAAAAGAAAGAAGUCACUUGUUCACAAGCCAAGAGUUCCAUUGACUCCUCUCUUAUCUACGUUCAUGCUUACUUAACCAGUAGUGAAUGGAAUAAAGUAAGAAGUCUUUCCACACUCGUAACCUGUAAUUAAUGGGAGUCGGUACAGAUUGGGUGUAGUGAAGAAUGGAACCCCCUACUCUGACUUGGUCUAGUGAAUGUCAGUCCGUACUCAUACUCGGUCUAGUGAAUGAUAGGUAGGUAACAGUGAAGUAGUCGGCGCACCGAGAAGCACACGAUCUAAUCUACUCUUAUUGUCAGUCUCUCCAGAAAGAAGAAGCACACCCUUGCCUUUAUUCUCUUCUAUGUUCUUGUCUCUAGUGUGGAGUUCUUCCUGUCAUAUCUCUGAACUGGACUACCAAAACAUCUACACUGCAUCAAGCCACGUUGUAAGAACCUCGACUAAGACUAAGAAAGGAAACAUCCUAUAAAGCUCUUGCUGGGUGAUUGUUCAGGCUUCUUCCGGUGGAUUGGUAUUGGUAGAGUUUGUUUGCCGUAUCUACACAGGUAGAGAACCUUGUUUCAUAGGUUGGGCCUAUAAAUAGAUAAGCGCGAGAGUACUUUACCGGUACCAGUUUAAAGGCAUUAUUCACUCAAUUCUGCAUUAUUUCUUCUGGCAGCAGGUUAUCUUUCUGCAACGCCAAAACAAAGGUGGAACACGUACCCAGAGAUCCGAAAAGCUACUUCUCAAGAGUCCACUAAACCACUUGUCCCAGGCGCGGGCUAAAUCACUCUGGAACUGGAAUCGCCCGGCGCGAAUCAAGUAGUCGUUAUGUUUGGGAUUCAAGGCAAGCUGGAAUCAGAAUCUGCAGGAAGACAGGGAGGAUCUGGAGCCCAUGUAGGUACGGCCUAAGCUGAGCUGCUAGCGGCAUCAACUCUUUUCCCCGCAAAUAAGAAAAGUAAACAUUCCCUCCCUAGCCUACCCGCCCUUUAUUUAAGUGGAAACAACCACUAUAGGCUACUUAGACUAAAAUAAAAAAUAGGGGCCCUUCUCUAAGUCUAAGAAGGAAGCAGCAUUACUUCAUUUUUUUUACCAAGGAAUGGACUCACUUUCCACUCCUUGAGCCUGCCAUUGAAAUGAAAACAGACUUUAGGGACUCGUUUUCGAAACGAUCUGGUACCAAAUUCCAUGCUAAAAGCGGUAAUCAGAUGUCGUUACCUCUUUCUCUCUUUCUUUCUACUGGCCAUAGUCAUCUCGAUUCUCACUCCAUACCAUACGACAAUAUCUAUUUGACACAAGACAUGACAUGAUCUGGCGGAUCAGAACAGAAAUGGGUUUAGCCUUCUCCCACUCCGGAUUUGCGUAUUCCCUCGGGAAAAUGGGGUAGGCUACUUUUGAGUGAGAUGCGGUUUUCUCAAAAGCAAUCCAUCGUUUCGAGGGUGCCGGGCUAUGGUUCAGUUCGAGUCUAGUUUCCUGAAAAUAUUCCGUGGUUUUGGCCCAAGGAAAGGAGUAGUGACGGAGUUCAUUCAUUAGCAAGGAUCGGACCCAUUCCAGCUUAGAACUUACCACUAGACUCUUGGAAUAGGAAAUUGGCUUUCCCGAGAAGGGGACUAGCACUUGAUUUCGUUGCCUAAUAGAAUCCCAUUCACUCUUGACUCUUGGAAUGAGUCCGGUGGAAAGUAAAGUAGGAAGGAGGGGCGAAAUUCAGUUGUGUUGGACUAGAUUCGAGAAAUGCAUAAUCAAAGCAUUUUCCGUUCUUCAGCCAGCCAUGCCUGGAAUCCAUCGUUGUGCCAAGAAAUAGUGCAACUUUUUCCACUAGGUGAGAUGCACUUUUGGCCCAUAGCGAGAUAGGAUAGAAGUUUUCAGAUCAGCUCCCAAUGAGAUUAGUAGAAUCUAAUGAGGAGAAUCAAAAGAGAGGUUGCCAUAGCAGUCAGUGGUUUUGCCUGGGACAGACGUGGCGCACUUGAUUGACCUUGCUUCCGGACUAGCUUCUCUUUUCAUACCUGGCACGGCAGAUUGAGUGAGUGAGUCCACUGUUUACGUUACAACUAGCAGUAGCGUGUCAAUUCUAGUCAGAAAAAAGCUUUCCAUUGAUUCAUGAUAGUGCCGUGCCGUGCCGUACUCAACUGGUAUCAAAAGUGAGAAAUAGGCGAUAUUCUCCUAAAGAAAGGACGGUUGGAUUUUAUUUAGAUAGUUUAUAAGAAACCUUUUUGGAUCCUUAGCGAAACAUCCCUUAUUAUUAAAUGCAUAUGGGCUUGACUUGAUGGUUUUUGAUGAAGUCGGUUCCCACUUUUCCAGUCAGGUUGGGAGACUUUUUUAG